UACGAAGGGGGCUAGCGUUGCUCGGAAUGACUGGGCGUAAAGGGCGCGUAGGCGGAUUGCACAGUCAGAUGUGAAAUUCCCGGGCUUAACCUGGGGGCUGCAUUUGAUACGUGUGAUCUAGAGUGAGGAAGAGGGUCGUGGAAUUCCCAGUGUAGAGGUGAAAUUCGUAGAUAUUGGGAAGAACACCGGUGGCGAAGGCGGCGACCUGGUCCUUGACUGACGCUGAGGCGCGAAAGCGUGGGGAGCGAACAGG
rnacentral:rRNA from 1 species